CCCUCCCGGAAGUGCCGGUGGAGCGUGUGCAUGGCGCGCGAGUCCUGUGUCUCGGAGGCUGGCUCUGCAGCGGCCGCGCUCUUCGGCUGGGGUGCAAAUAGCUACGGGCAGCUUGGCCUUGGCCACAAGGAAGAUGUGCUUCUUCCCCAGCGACUGAGCAACUUCUGUGAGCCUGGGUGCAUCAGGAGUGUCACAGGAGGUGGGGGCCAUUCUGCAGCUGUCACAGAUAGAGGAGGACUUUUUGUUUGUGGCCUAAAUAAAGAUGGGCAGUUGGGGCUUGGCCACACAGAAGAUGUUCUUUCUUUUACCAUCUGCAAGCCUCUUCUUGGUUGUCCAAUCAAACAGGUGGCCUGUGGCUGGGAUUUUACCAUUAUGCUCACAGAAAUAGGUCAAGUUCUGUCAUGUGGAUCCAAUGCCUUUGGCCAGUUAGGUGUGCCGCACAGCCCUCGCAGAUGUAUGGUUCCACAGACCAUUGAGCUCCUGAGAGAGAAGGUUGUUUGUGUCGCUGCUGGACUGAGGCAUGCGUUAGCCACUACAGUGAGUGGCAGCGUGUUCCAGUGGGGGACUGGCUUGGCAUCUUCUGGACAGCGCUUGUGUCCUGGGCAGACUCUGCCAUUGUUUUUGACAGCAAAGGAACCAAGCAGAGUGACAGGCCUUGAAAAUUCCACAGCAGUAUGUGUCGUUGCCGGAUCUGACCACUCAGCCGCAUUAACAGAUACAGGAGAACUGUAUGUCUGGGGCCGGAACAAGCAUGGGCAACUGGCUUCCUUGGCUGCAUUCCUUCUUCUGCCCCAGAGAAUAGAUGCAUGUUGCUUUCAGAAUGAAAAGCUCACUACUGUCUGGAGUGGAUGGACACACCUGGUAGUUCAGACAGAAACUGGCAAGGUGUUUACCUGGGGUCGAGCAGACUAUGGUCAGCUAGGGCGGAAGUUUGAGUCUCCUGAUGGCCACAAACCCGACAAACUAGAUUCAUCGCUUGCCUUUUGGAGGCAGCAAAGCAGUGUGCCUUUGCCUCUGCACUGCCUGACAGGAGCAGCCAAGAUUUCUUGUGGCUCAGAACACAAUUUGGCAAUAAUUGGUGACAAGUGUUGUGCCUGGGGCUGGAACGAACAUGGCAUGUGUGGGGAUGGCACUGAGUCCAAUGUCUGGACGCCAUCUCCAGUGCAGGCUCUCCAGUCAGCAAGACUCCUCCUUGUGGGCUGUGGGGCUGGCCACUCCUUGGCCUUAUGUCAGCUGCCAGCACACCUUGUGCCAUGCCAGGAUCUCAAGGUCUCCUCCCCACUCCACACCGCCCCAGAGAACACUGAAUCUCAGGAUGCCAUGGACAAAGAUAAACUGGAAGGAUAGAUGGUCGGAAACUUCAACCCAGAGCAGUUCUGACAAGAUGAGCCAUGAGUGCCUAAGAACAACCCCAUUGUGCACUUGCAGGCCUUUGACCCGGCCCUGGAGUAAGUGUUGAAGACCCAGCAUGCAACAGCUCUGCCAUCCCUACUUCCCACACCCACUCUUCCCUCUGGUCAUGGAUACCCACCUUCCCUUGACACAUCUGCCUGUGAAGUCCAUUAAAAUAACUUUGGAUGGUGGGCUGGCUAGUCUUAUGUCAACUUGACACAGGCUAGAGUCACCCGAGAGGAGGGAACCUCAGCUGAGAAAAUGUCUCCGUAAGACUGAGUUGCAAGCAAGCCCGUAGGAUAUUUUCUUAAUCAGUGACUGAUGAGAGAGGGCCCAGUGCAUUGUGGGUAGGACCACCUCUGGACAGGUGGGCCUGGGUUCUAUCAGGAAGGAGGCUAUGCAAGCCAUGAAGAACAAGCCAGUAAGCAGCACCCCUCCUCGGCCUCUGAAUCAGGAUCCUGCCCUGUUUGAGUUCCUGCUCUGAUUUCCUCCAAAGAUAGACUGUGGUGUGGAAGUGUGAGCUGAAUUAAAAACCCUUUCCUCCCCGA